CAGCACAUAAAAGGGGCAGCAUCCGCCUCCUCAGACCAGUUCGCGCCCGAGAUUCAGACGGUGGCGAGCCUCAACACGACACUUGCUUCUGGACAUCUCGUACUGCUGACUGCACCACCAUGAAACUGCGUGUCUGUAUGUUGCUUCUGGCGAUGGUCGUCAUCGCUACAAUGAUUGAUGACUCCCAGGGAUGGAGGCGCAGGAGGCGCAGGAGACUGGAGGAAGAUAAUGAAGGGACAUCAAAGCAGUCUGAUGAGAC